rnacentral:rRNA from 1 species
ACACCGGCAGCUCAAGUGGUAGCCGCUUUUAUUGGGCCUAAAGCGUCCGUAGCCGGUCUGAUAAGUCUCUGGUGAAAUCCCACAGCUUAACUGUGGGAAUUGCUGGAGAUACUAUCAUGACUCGAGGUCGGGAGAGGCUGGAGGUACUCCCAGGGUAGGGGUGAAAUCCUGUAAUCCUGGGAGGACCACCUGUGGCGAAGGCGUCCAGCUGGAACGAACCUGACGGUGAGGGACGAAAGCCAGGGGCGCGAGCCGGAUUAGAUACCCGGGUAGUCCUGGCCGUAAACGAUGUGGACUUGGUGUUGGGAUGGCUUCGAGCUGCCCCAGUGCCGAAGGGAAGCUGUUAAGUCCACCGCCUGGGAAGUACGGCCGCAAGGCUGAAACUUAAAGGAAUUGGCGGGG